UCAAUAAGAAAAAUUUAGUGCACACAAU
rnacentral:sRNA from 1 species